AACGAACGCUGGCGGCAUGCCUAACACAUGCAAGUCGAACGAGACCUUCGGGUCUAGUGGCGCACGGGUGCGUAACGCGUGGGAACCUGCCCUUAGGUUCGGAAUAACUCCCCGAAAGGGGUGCUAAUACCGGAUAAUGUCUUCGGACCAAAGAUUUAUCGCCUUUGGAUGGGCCCGCGUUGGAUUAGCUAGUUGGUAGGGUAAAAGCCUACCAAGGCGACGAUCCAUAGCUGGUCUGAGAGGAUGAUCAGCCACACUGGGACUGAGACACGGCCCAGACUCCUACGGGAGGCAGCAGUGGGGAAUAUUGGACAAUGGGCGAAAGCCUGAUCCAGCAAUGCCGCGUGAGUGAUGAAGGCCUUAGGGUUGUAAAGCUCUUUUACCCGGGAUGAUAAUGACAGUACCGGGAGAAUAAGCGCCGGCUAACUCCGUG
rnacentral:rRNA from 1 species